UCUCUCCUACCCAAACCCUUUCAUUUCUCUCUUACCCAAACCCUAUCUCUCCUUGGUCGUGCGAAUCAAGGUGUCUGUCAUCCAUCCGUCGUUGUCCACCGUCCGUCCAUUAGUCUCCGUCACAUCUGGGUCUCUCCUUGGUCGUGGGUCUUCAACAACACAGAUCUGUAGUUCUGGUUCUCUGUCGUGGGUCUGUAAAUCUGUAGAAAUCAACUCUAGUUCCGUGGGUCUUCAACAACAUAGAUUUUUCAUGGGUGUCUUGCAGAUUGGUCUCUGUCGUGCGUAUCACGUCCGUUCGUCAGUCGCCAUCACGUUUGGGUCUCUCCUUGGCCAUGGGUCUCUAUCAGUCGUCAACAAUGUAGAUCUGUAGUCGUAGGUCUCUGCCAUGGGUCGUAGAUCUGUAGAAAUGAACUCUAACAUGUAGAAAAAGAAUGAGGAAGACAAGGGAGUAGGGAAGUUGUUGUUCUACGAUUUGGCAUUGUAACAUGGAGAAGAGGUCAGCGAAGUUAGAGUAGAAAUCAAGUCCAACCAUUAUUAAUUCCAUCUAAUUAUGGGGACUUCACCUUGAGUUUUUAUGAGAAUGGAUUGUUGUACUAUAACAGUGAGGGAGGGGUUGAUUCGGUCCUGUUUUUUUACUGAUAAAUAGAUGUGAAGUUGAAGAAAAAUUAAGCCUCCAAAGCCGAUUUUGGUGAAAGAAACUUAUUGUCAUGUAAGGGAAGAAGAAGCUAAUUUUUUGUGUUUUUGAAGGAGUUUUAACUUCUCCAUCAAGCCUUGGAGCAAAUAGAGGUCAGGGACGCAUGCAACCCAGUUGGUUCUUGCCCUGAAUAGGGUCAUCUGUUUUAACUCCUACAUCAAAAGAUCCCUCAAGGAAACAUGUCAAGUUGGAAGAUUCCAUUGUGUCCUGUGCACUAUCCUCUAACACAAUAUUUCCUGCAAAAGACAAGGAUUUGGAAGGAAGAUAGGAAGAUUGCAUUGGACAUGUUAUAAGAAGGUUGACAAGUAGAGAAGGUGCAUCCAACACAAAAAGGACUUCAUAACAACAUUAAUAACAAGUACAAGGUAAUAUUUAUAAGAUGUUUAUCUCUUCUUGGACAUGUCUUAUUAUAUAUUGUUUGCCCAUUUUUCUCUACUUGUAAGAAGUCAUGCUUUCGAUUUGGAUCAAACCUAUGGUAGAUGGUAGAGAGAACAUAACGAAGGAGCAAUUGAAAAAUUAUUUGGAAAAUACUAUAUAAUGGCAACAAGUUUGUGUGCACUUUUUUUUUUGGGGGGAUAUUUACAAGUUUUAGUUUAUAUUAAGUUCUCGUUCUUUUUUUAUACACCAAUAAAAGUUGUUUGGAUCUAACAAAAUUUUAAUU